UGGAUACUCCCUCCAUCCAGAAAUAUUUGUCGGAGAAAUGAAUGAAUCUAGACGUAUCUUAGUUAUAGAUACAUUCGAUUUUAUCCAUUUCUUCGACAAGUAUUUCGGGACGGAGGGAGUACAUG
rfam:Triticum aestivum genome assembly, contig: Triticum_aestivum_CS42_TGACv1_scaffold_456964_5DS